rnacentral:ncRNA from 2 species
AAACUAACGCAAGCGCCGGGACCAGCCAGCACUGACCGCUGUCCAGAUGGGUUCCCACUGGUUAGUGCUGGUUGGUUGACGAGGCGGGGGUUAAUCGAGGCAUCGGCGGGUGCCCCCCGGUUUGGUUACGACCGACAAAGGCGUUACAAAACCCGGGAGCAAUCCCGGGGACAAAGGGCGCCGGGUAACCCUUU